rnacentral:rRNA from 1 species
GUGAGGAAUAUUGCGCAAUGGACGAAAGUCUGACGCAGCAACGCCGCGUGCGGGAUGAAGGCCUUUCAGGUCGUAAACCGCUGUAGCAGGGGACAAAUUUCCCGUUCGACGGGAUUGAUGGUACCCUGAAAGUAAGCCUCGGCUAACUACGUGCCAGCAGCCGCGGUAAUACGUAGGAGGCAAGCGUUGUCCGGAUUUACUGGGUGUAAAGGGUCCGCAGGCGGGUGUGUAAGUCGGUGGUGAAAUCCUACAGCUUAACUGUAGAACUGCCUCCGAGACUGCAUAUCUUGAAUAUAGGAGAGGGUAACGGAAUUCCAGGUGUAGCGGUGAAAUGCUUAGAUAUCUGGAAGAACACCGGUUGCGAAGGCUGUUACCUGGCCUACUAUUGACGCUCAGGGACGAAAGCGUGGGGAUCAAACAGGAUUAGAAACCCUAGUAGUCC